AGUUUUAAUAUUGGUAUGGUGACAAAAUAUAUGAUAAAAUAUCACUUUGAUGGCAUUCAGUGAAGUCCAAAAAAUGUAGGUAUAAACAUGAUCUCAUGAUCAAACUAACAUAAUUAAUCUAUAGUUAAAUCUCUUGUACCAUUUAAAAUUAAACUAAAACUUCAUAUGGCAUUACUAGUUUUUACAUGUAUCAAUAUUUCAGUCACUGUUAAGUUUACAAGAAGGAGGAUCUGUUUCUGGUGGGAAUAGUCAGAUCUGACUGCCUUCUUGCUGAGCAAAAGGUCCCCACAAGGUGUGGGGUCAAAAGGGCUUUGAAGGUCAUCAGUGAUGGUGGAUCAUGACAUUGCCAUCAUCGGCUAGGCUAUCUCCUCCAUCUGCAAACCAUGAGCCAUUUGCCUGAAAAAUAUAUUGGAUACGAUAAAGAGAAGACAUACACACACUGAAGGACACAGGCCAUGGAAAGGCCCCCCCUUACCCUGACUUUAGUACAGGUGGUACGGGAAGUGGUUUGGUAAAGCCGUCCCUCCCGGUAAGCCAGUAGGUUUCUUCUAUACCUUUCCCCUGUGGAGACGAGAAGACGGCAGGAGGACCUGUCAAUCUAAACUUAUUAGUAUUCAUUAAAGUACUAUAAAAAUAAAAUUUGCAUUGUUUGGUUAGUUUUGAUCUUCCCUCUGAUUGAACAUUAUGUGACCCUGUCUGUGAAAUCCUGGCUAAAGUUUUCAUCUAAUUAUUACAUUAUAUGCAUCAAAGUGUAAUUUUUCAAUCACUGAUUUCACUUUAAUUUCAAUCUUUGACAUGACAUUACUCAGUCAAUAUUAAUGAUAUCAAGGUUGCAUUUUCACAUUUUGUGCUUUACAUUAUAUAAAAUGAUUGUAUGUUGAAAGUAACAAAUCACAAAACAUGACUUUAGCAGAGUUUUCCCAG